ensembl:lncRNA
CAGAGCAAGCGGGUCUUGAAUUCAGGGGUCGGUUGGACCAAACUCAUAUUUACCAUUAACUUUAAGUGAAUUCAAAACUGACUAAAUUUGUGUCAUUCUGCAACCAGAUACUAAGCAGAUGGACAUCCUCCAGAGAAGGGAGAUUUUACAGAUGAGGUUGUGAGCCCUGAACUCUUUCAUUGUCUCAUUCAACGUCUGCACUUCCACAGACCUUCUGCAAUUGUUCUGGGGAAAAAAAAGUGAAUGCCGGAUCGGAUCACCUUACUUUUUCAGGAAAAAAGGGGAAGUUCUGGCCUAUCAGCCUCUCUUGACAGUGUCUUCAGACUGGUUUCACACUAGGUGCUGUUCUCACCUGAACAGGCAGGAUGUGAGUUCAGCUUGGA